UUUAGAUUCCACGGAAAGGUAGCUUCCGUGAUAUAAGUGAUUUUCCACUUUAAUUCCCCUGAAAUUUGCUUAAAGACAGAGAUCCACUGCCUUAGAAGCCGAAAGAGUAGCCUCAGGGAGAAGGAUUUAUAUAUUUGGCCCCAAAUUGAACUCCUUUCUAUUAGGAAGACACUGGGCAUGCAGAAGCCAGGAAAAGAGAGUCAUUUUUCACUCUCUGAGUUAGAGAUCUUUAGCCCAGUUCAAGGAUGGACUUUGGAUUAGAGAAGAGACUGCUCAUCAAUUCCUUCACAUGUCCACCCAGAUGCUGUCUUCCUGGCCUCCAAGUUUGCUCUUUAGACUGGCAGUCUCCAACCUUUUUGGCACCAGAGGGCAUGGUGGCUGUCACUACCAAGGAGUACUCUAUCAGCAAUACUAGUUGGGAGCGAUCAGCCCCAUGACCAUGAUGGCAUCUGGGUCUCCACAAAUACUAUCAGUCAAGAUAAGGAUUUUUGUGGCAUGAGAAGAGAGAACACAGAGAAUCAUGGUCCAUGAUGCUUCUAAGCAGAAAUGAGCUGUUUAUUGGAUAUGCGAGUCACAGAGCCACUCCUACCUUCAAGGGCUGGGGAGUGCAGUUCUCCCCUGCGUCUGGAAGGGAAGGAGUGACUGGAGGUGUUGGUGAGCAGUAGCAAUGCCUGCCACAGAGUUUACACAGUGGAGCAGCUGAUGGACAAGCACGACGAGUCUUCGAGGUGGCCAUGUGUGC